rfam:Oryza meridionalis cultivar OR44 (W2112) chromosome 7, whole genome shotgun sequence.
AACUACACUAUUAAUGAAUGGAUUCACCCGCAAGAUGACGUGGCUGGUUCACAUAGGACGAGAACGUGGCAUUCUAUUACCAGCCAUCGCAUGAAAUUAAUAGGAUAUGCCACGUCAUCAUCCUAGAUGGAAUAACUACGUCAUCACACGGGUGAAUCCAUCAUCGAUAGUGUGGUU